rnacentral:lncRNA from 1 species
ACCAUUGUCGCAGCUGUUUUCUGGAAUUGAGGACAACAUGUUCAUCGUCUUGAAAAACUGAUAUCAUUUUUGGAUUUCUCUCGUCGAAACCUUCAAGAAACACUACUCAUUUGUCUGUUUCGGUGAAGUUGAUGUCGGACCCUGUCGGUGCUCCAACACGUCGGUGAGGCCUUUUCUGAUAACUUGUUUCACUUUGUUUCAAAUUUGUUUCUUCUCUUAAUAUAUUUAUUAAUUAUGUAAAAUUGAUUUUUAUGGUCCAUGUAAACCAUCAGCCGUGUUUCAUUGACUCUACAAAUUCGUCGAUGUUUUUGGACUCGUUCGUUGCGUGCUGUCGACAUCUCAUGGUUGCUAAAAAUCAGUAUGGUCCUUAAAUCUUAUGAAAGCAUCAAAUUGAGGUAUGAGGUGAGAGUGAGUUCGAAUGCAUGAGUAUAAAUUAAGUGGGAUGAACGAGAAUACCGUAUUUCCCGCAGUUUAUUCGGGGCUCGUUACGUACUGUUGAAGCCCUUUGAGUAAUAAUUGACUAAUGAGCAAACUUGAAUUUGGUGAGGUUAAAAUAUAAAUUAGAAACUCUUAUAGGAUGUUGUUUGAUUUGAUUUUUUAAGAUCGUGU